AGAGUUUGAUCAUGGCUCAGAUUGAACGCUGGCGGCAGGCCUAACACAUGCAAGUCGAACGGUAGCACAGAGGAGCUUGCUCCUUGGGUGACGAGUGGCGGACGGGUGAGUAAUGUCUGGGGAUCUGCCCGAUGGAGGGGGAUAACUACUGGAAACGGUAGCUAAUACCGCAUAACGUCGCAAGACCAAAGUGGGGGACCUUCGGGCCUCACACCAUCGGAUGAACCCAGAUGGGAUUAGCUAGUAGGUGGGGUAACGGCUCACCUAGGCGACGAUCCCUAGCUGGUCUGAGAGGAUGACCAGCCACACUGGAACUGAGACACGGUCCAGACUCCUACGGGAGGCAGCAGUGGGGAAUAUUGCACAAUGGGCGCAAGCCUGAUGCAGCCAUGCCGCGUGUAUGAAGAAGGCCUUCGGGUUGUAAAGUACUUUCAGCGGGGAGGAAGGUGGUGAGGUUAAUAACCUCAUCAAUUGACGUUACCCGCAGAAGAAGCACCGGCUAACUCCGUGCCAGCAGCCGCGGUAAUACGGAGGGUGCAAGCGUUAAUCGGAAUUACUGGGCGUAAAGCGCACGCAGGCGGUCUGUCAAGUCGGAUGUGAAAUCCCCGGGCUUAACCUGGGAACUGCAUUCGAAACUGGCAGGCUCGAGUCUCGUAGAGGGGGGUAGAAUUCCAGGUGUAGCGGUGAAAUGCGUAGAGAUCUGGAGGAAUACCGGUGGCGAAGGCGGCCCCCUGGACGAAGACUGACGCUCAGGUGCGAAAGCGUGGGGAGCAAACAGGAUUAGAUACCCUGGUAGUCCACGCCGUAAACGAUGUCGACUUGGAGGUUGUGCCCUUGAGGCGUGGCUUCCGGAGCUAACGCGUUAAGUCGACCGCCUGGGGAGUACGGCCGCAAGGUUAAAACUCAAAUGAAUUGACGGGGGCCCGCACAAGCGGUGGAGCAUGUGGUUUAAUUCGAUGCAACGCGAAGAACCUUACCUGGCCUUGACAUCCAGAGAACUUAGCAGAGAUGCUUUGGUGCCUUCGGGAACUCUGAGACAGGUGCUGCAUGGCUGUCGUCAGCUCGUGUUGUGAAAUGUUGGGUUAAGUCCCGCAACGAGCGCAACCCUUAUCCUUUGUUGCCAGCGAUUCGGUCGGGAACUCAAAGGAGACUGCCGGUGAUAAACCGGAGGAAGGUGGGGAUGACGUCAAGUCAUCAUGGCCCUUACGGCCAGGGCUACACACGUGCUACAAUGGCGCAUACAAAGAGAAGCGACCUCGCGAGAGCAAGCGGACCUCAUAAAGUGCGUCGUAGUCCGGAUUGGAGUCUGCAACUCGACUCCAUGAAGUCGGAAUCGCUAGUAAUCGUAGAUCAGAAUGCUACGGUGAAUACGUUCCCGGGCCUUGUACACACCGCCCGUCACACCAUGGGGAGUGGGUUGCAAAAAGAAGUAGGGUAGCUUAACCCUUCGGGGAGGGCGCUUUACCACUUUUGUGAUUCAUGACUGGGGGUGAAG
rnacentral:rRNA from 1 species